rnacentral:rRNA from 1 species
UGGGGAAUUUUCCGCAAUGGGCGAAAGCUUGACGGAGCAAUGCCGCGUGGAGGUGGAAGGCCUACGGGUCGUCAACUUCUUUUCUCGGAGAAGAAACAAUGACGGUAUCUGAGGAAUAAGCAUCGGCUAACUCUGUGUCAG